GAUGAACGCUGGCGGCGUGCCUAAUACAUGCAAGUCGAGCGAACAGAUGAGGCGCUUGCUCCUCUGACGUUAGCGGCGGACGGGUGAGUAACACGUGGAUAACCUACCUAUAAGACUGGGAUAACUUCGGGAAACCGGAGCUAGUACCGGAUAAUAUAUUGAACCGCAUGGUUCAAUAGUGAAAGACGGUUUUGCUGUCACUUAUAGCUGGAUCCGCGCCGCAUUAGCUAGUUGGUAAGGUAACGGCUUACCAAGGCAACGAUGCGUAGCCGACCUGAGAGGGGGAUCGCCCACACUGGAACUGAGACGCGGUCCAGACUCCUACGGGAGGCAGCAGUAGGGAAUCUUCCGCAAUGGGCGAAAGCCUGACGGAGCAACGCCGCGUGAGUGAUGAAGGUCUUCGGAUCGUAAAACUCUGUUAUGAGGGAAGAACAAAUGUGUAAGUAACUAUGCACGUCUUGACGGUACCUAAUCAGAAAGCCACGGCUAACUACGUG
rnacentral:rRNA from 1 species